rnacentral:lncRNA from 1 species
AAGAAAGAACAGUAUUAUUUGUUGUACUAGGAUUGGUUAGUAUGAUAUAAUUAAGUGAUGUACUUUACUAUCACCAAUUGAAUAAUCAGUCAGGAAAAAGAAGAGGGGAUGGUCACAUUCUAACUGAAAAUAGAGUAGGUUUGCAUCGAUUUUGUGUAUAUUUCAGUGUAACUGAAUGACUCAUUUAAGAAUGACAGUUGCUAUUGAUUUUUGAAUUGUGUGUAAUUAAGAUUGAAUGAAAUAAAUGGCAUAAUUUAGCUAUCAGUGAAGCGCUUUGUUUUCUCGAUGUAUUCUUGGACAUACAUAAAGAAAGAGUGUUUGUAGCAGAUUCGAAGUUGUUAUCACCAAACAACAGUGUAAAGAGUGAGACAGUAGUUAUACCUUGGAGACUAUCAAGAAGUUUCGUACGUUCAGUGUUAUAUCGUUGGCAAACAAAGAAAUAGUGGUUGCUGUCUUCAACUUCGCCGCAUUCGCAAAGUGGACUUUGGAUAAUAUUUUUACGGAAUAGAUCUUCUUUAAGAGAACUAAACUGAGUUCUAAGACGUGUGUGCAUGAUUUGAAGUACCCGAUCCCCAGUAUAGUAAUAUUCAGGGAUGUUUGUAGUCAGGCCUUUGAUCCUGCUUUUGAAAAUAGCUAGUGAUUGUGCAUCUCGCACGUCUUGUGGAAGUGAAUUCCAUUCUCGAAUAGAAGAGGGAAGGAAAGAGUUUGAAUACAGCUGCGAGUUGCAAGUGUAUGUGUCAAUGUCAUUGUGAAAAAGUGAGUCCCAGUCUACUUGAGAAGCUUCCCGCCGCAAACCGUCAUAAUCAGCAUUAUCAAAUUGCCUAACAGUUCUUUUGAAACUCACAGUCUUUGGUUUUAUGUGAUAAAGACAGCAGAAGACAGGGCAAUGGUAAUGAACAUUUUGAUCAAGGAAAGGUUCCCCAAUACCACAGAUAGCUAUUUUACAUGUUGACGAAAGAAGGAAGAGCUCUAUAAGUGCGUUUGAGGAUUCUGUAAAGAAUGUGAGUCUUGACGUAAACUGAUACUCCUCCAUGAGAAUCACCGACUCUGUCUUUAAGAAAAGGUACUGAAAAGUUUUCAAAUGUUAUGGAACCGGUCUCGAUGGUAUCACUAAGCCAUGUUUCUGUGAAGGAAAGAAUAUCAAAUUGUAGCAAUUCACUUUCAAGGAUUUCCUUUUUGUGAUAGAAGCUUUGAACAUUGUAAUGAACAAGAGAGAGAUUUUUUUUUAAUUCGUCUAUAAAGUCUGUACAAGAACUGCUUGAAGUUGAGUCGGGGCCAGGAUUUUCAUGGACAUCGCCGGCCAGUAGAAGGAUCAUCGACAACCAAGAAAUUAGUUCAAAACUUGAGAAGUGUUUUAGACCUAUUAUUCUCAUCUGUUUUGUGACGAACAAACCUACUCUCACCCUGUAUUCAUUCACCUCUACAAAUAUUAUGUUAUUCCAAAGUCCAGAACUUGAGUGGGUGAGAUAUUAUCACAGUUAGAGUGACCAUCAGAGCGAGAAGGAAAGAAGACAGAGAUAUGGAUUUGAGGAAUACGAGACAAGCUAAAGAAUGAGUAGACAACGGAAUUAAGGAUCCAUAAUUCCAUUUGACUCAUUUCUGUUACUAAAGGCAGUAUUGUGAUUAUAAGAUGAUUUUGCAAAGAUAUCUAAUAUCAGUUUUCUUUUCUUCAAGUGAAUUUUUGUGUUGUGAUCGAUAUAAAGUAAUCAAGAAUCAGAAAAUGUUGAUGUCAUGUUCCUUAAAUUAGUGUUUUCUAAAUGUGCGUUUAGCCCUCGACAAACUUCACUAUUGCAUUUUAUUACUGGAUAUUUUAUAGGAAAUGAAUAAAUGUACAACCUUUCCAAAUCAACAUUUAUGUAACAUACAUUCGUUUUCAAAUUGUUUGUAAAACUAAACACCGGCCACUUCAAAUAAACUGGUGUUUUUGGUGAGUAAAUAAAUUGCCAUCUGACAAUGUUGUUUGGUCUUAUCAACAUCUGCAUUACAUAAAAUCAGUAAUUA